GCUGGUGAUGGGAUGGUGUGGCGCUCCUGCUGUGGGUGUCGCCAGGAGGCUCUUUGGAUUCUUUGGGAAGGGGUGUCACCCGGUCAGGUGGUACGCUCCCCGGUCACUAGCGGUAUACACGGGAAGUGGGGUGAACACCUGCUGCUCAUGGUACCGAGUGAUUCUUGCCCGAGUGGGCAGCUGGGCAGACGCCCUUCUGGGUCUUGGAGUCCAAAGAACUGCAGAGUAGCCCAAGGGGUGUGGGUCAGUUUUGAGUGGGAGCCAAGUCUGGGAGCCCGUGUGCAUCAUGUUUGGGUCAGGUUGGCUUGGCCACCACUGAAAUAAGCAAUAAGUCCGGGCUCCUGGUACCUGCGGAUCUCCUGCAGACAGGCCCAGAGAACAGCCUUGAAGCCACCUUUCCCCUCACGGGGACUGACCCUGUCUUUAAUGCUGCAGUGGCAUCCAGGAUCAGUGGAAUGUUGCUUUGAGAACCCUCCUGCCUGUUACAGAGGCAGCACAAAGCUGGUGCCCCCUGGGCCAACACGGCACUGGGAUGGCUUUCUAGGACAGAACUCUGUUGGUGACAGUCACAUCUCAAACUAAUAGCUGAUUUUAAAAGCCAGCAGCAGCGACGCCACGUACCUGAAUACAGGUGGCAGUUGCAGAGCCGUGGGCUGUAGAGGGUCAGAUGGGCCUUCCCACAGGGGAACCCUGGGGGCGCUGCAGCUCAGGGUGACUCCCGGCUCUGUCACUAGCAGGGAGGGCAACCCCUUCCUUCUGGAGCCUUAGCUCUGAAAGCCCCCAGCGGGGGUGCCCUUUCAGAUGCCCCCUUUCCAUUUCGAAGGCUCUGAUGCUUGAUCUUGAAGCCAGACGCGGCACUGGCACUCGGCUUCCGUUUCCACUGUGACAGACGGAGGUCUCCUUUCUAGCCCCAGCCCAGCGGCCAAGCCCAUCCUGGCCUUAGAACAUGCUGAGCACAUUUUGUAGGGUGGCACCUUUCUAUCCAAGUUACUAGCUACACGUCAGUGUUUAAAGAGAAAAAAGUGACCUUUCAUUUUUUUUUCUUGAAACUUGAGGAAACAAGAUACAUACUACUGAUUUUUUUUUUUUUUUCUUAAAGAAAACUAAAUGCAUGACUGCAGAGCGGUAGAGGUGUAUAUUUUUCAUACCGUGGGGGGAAAGUAUUUGUGCUGCUUUUUGGAGAUGGACUGGAACGUCUGGUUUCUGUCCCCGGGCCCGGCAGCUACGUCUUAUUUUCUGUAGAAGGUGCCACAGUGAGACCUGGAGCCACCCCUUCCUGCCCUGGCGCCGUUUAGAGCUGGGAGCCUGUGGACUCCCGGCCUGUUUCUACCUUCUAGUCAACCACUCUGACGUGGGGAGACAAGAAUAGAACUUUUUGAUAGUGUGGUAAAAACAUUGAUUUGAACUAUUUUAGUAAAAGGAGUAAAAACAAGAUUGUGAUAGUGUCUACUUUGAGCUAGAUAAAUAAAGGCCUCUUUGUGAGCCUCCUGGCUGGGUGCUCAGUGCUUGUUUCCGUCACGGGUGGCAGGGUCAGCAGGCAGAGACAGGGCCAAGGCCCCUCAAGCACCUCAGAUGGGGGCUCAGUCGGGGCCCCUUCCACAGACACAGCCCUGGCCCCUCAAGGUGGAUGGUGAGGCCGCUGCUCCUCCAGCUGCCUCCGUCUCAUCGCAGGCCAGAAGUGGAAAGGGUUUCAAACGCAAGCCUGUGUUCCUGUGUGUGUUCUAUGCAGCAAGGCUUAAAAGUUUCCAGCUGGUUUGGAACUCAACCAGGUCCUCCAAAGGAAACCAAGGCAGGCAGAGGAUGGGUGCAGGCUGGCUUGGCAGGCGAAUGUGCCGAUCCACCCAGAGUGCCCUGGGAGGCCGUGGGGUUGGCGCUGGCUCCUGUGAACUGCAGCCAGGCCUCUCCCGGUACCCAGGGUCCGAAGGAGGGCUGCUACAAACUUUAUCACCCAGGGACUGCGAAGGCCUGGAGCCCUACCUUCCACCCAUUCACAAAGAAAGGGAUAGUUUCAGAACUGCUUUUAUUUGGAUAACUGACUGAAGGAGUCUCAUUUGUAACCAAGAUGGAAUUCACAGUAUGUUGUUACAUUCACACUUAAAAAAUAUAUCUCUAUGUACAGGAAUUUGCAAAUAGAUGUAAACAUACAUUACUUUCCAAGUACAUUUCUCCCCUUCUCCUUGGAGGAAAAAAAAAAGCCAUCCAACGAGGCAACCCCUUCAAAAUAAUUUUAAUACAAAGGAUGCAAACAUCUA